UACGUAGGGUGCGAGCGUUGUCCGGAAUUACUGGGCGUAAAGAGCUCGUAGGUGGUUUGUCGCGUUGUUCGUGAAAACUCACAACUCAAUUGUGGGCGUGCGGGCGAUACGGGCAGACUGGAGUACUGCAGGGGAGACUGGAAUUCCUGGUGUAGCGGUGGAAUGCGCAGAUAUCAGGAGGAACACCGGUGGCUAAGGCGGGUCUCUGGGCAGUAACUGACGCUGAGGAGCGAAAGCGUGGGGAGCGAACAGG
rnacentral:rRNA from 1 species